GUAGAAAUAACUCCAUUAACAAGGGAAGUCCUUAAUAAGGGAAAUAAAAAGAAAGUCUGUUUCCUCUCUGCUCUGGAGAAGAGUUGAAAAGAUGCUUUCAUUUAUACCCACAUAUCACAAGGAAAAGAAAUUUCAGCAUAUAGAGACUGGAGGAGGAGCUUAAAAAGGGAGCAGAGCAGCUAAUCUGUUGGCAGACCAGGGGAAGCAGCUGAGGAAAGGGGUGACUGAAGAUCAUAUAUUAUACAAUAAGGAUUCAAUCUUGCCAGUGUGUGCCAGUCCAGUAGCUGUUUUUAUCGAGAUGGAUGCAAGCUGCGCAAUUGAGUUCCAGACCUGAAUUUCAAACACCCCAAACCUCAGGAUGUUUGAGG